rnacentral:tRNA from 1 species
GCGGGCGUAGCUCAGUUGGUUAGAGCGCCGGCCUGUCACGCCGGAGGUCGCCGGUUCAAGUCCGGUCGCUCGCG